GCACAAGCGGUGAUGAUGUGGUUUAAUUCGAUGCAACGCGAAAAACCUUACCCACCUUUGACAUGUACGGAAUCCUUAGAGAUAGAGGAGUGCUCGAAAGAGAACCGUAACACAGGUGCUGCAUGGCUGUCGUCAGCUCGUGUCGUGAGAUGUUGGGUUAAGUCCCGCAACGAGCGCAACCCUUGUCAUUAGUUGCUACAUUUAGUUGGGCACUCUAAUGAGACUGCCGGUGACAAACCGGAGGAAGGUGGGGAUGACGUCAAGUCCUCAUGGCCCUUAUAGGUGGGGCUACACACGUCAUACAAUGGAUGGUACAAAGGGUCGCCAACCCGCGAGGGGGAGCCAAUCCCAUAAAGCCAUUCGUAGUCCGGAUCGUAGUCUGCAACUCGACUACGUGAAGUCGGAAUCGCUAGUAAUCGCAGAUCAGCAUGCUGCGGUAGAAUACGUUCCGGGUCUU
rnacentral:rRNA from 1 species